GGUACAGCUAAGCAAAACGUACUUUAAUUAGUACUCCCUGUCGUGCUAUGGCUGGAAGAUCCACGAGAAAAAGAUUUUAUGCCAAUUUUAAAAGUUUUUAACCUAAGGAAGUUUCCGAGUAUAAUCAAAUCCAGUUAAAGCUUGACAAUAUCCUGAUACAUUAUCCUGCGAACUAAGGCAGCACAUAUACUGUAUAACUUGAAGCAUAUCGCUGUCAAGGUAGAAUUUAUGGUUUCUUCACAAGAAAAUGAAAUUUGCUGGUUCCUGCCACCAACUAGUAACACGAAGCACAUCCGUUUUUAUUCAUAAAUUUUUGCUUUGAGGAACAAAACAGUUGAAAUUGCAUUAAGACAUCAAUUAGUAGCACAGAAAAAUCUAUUAUAUGUGAUUCCAGCUGCAUACUUUAAAAGUUCAAGUAAAAUUGAAUAUCAUUGAGUAAUAAAGACAAUACAAUAAAG